rnacentral:rRNA from 1 species
AUAAGAAAUAAGAUCUGCCCACUGAAACAUUAAAGGGCUGCGGUAUUUUGACCGUACGAAGGUAGCAUAGUCAUUUGUUCUUUAAUUGGGGACUGGUAUGAAUGAUUUAUAACUGGGAGUUGUUGUUUUUAAUUUAUUAGGUGAAUUUUACUUUUAAGUGAGGAGGCUUAAAUUUGAUAAAAAGACGAGAAGACCCUAUGAAGCUUUAUAAUGUUGAUUUAUUUUUAGUAUGUGAUGUGAAUUAUUAUUAUUAUUGGAUUGGGGCGAUUUGGUAUUAUCUAUUUAAGAUUUGUGCUUUAUUUAAGAUUUGUGAUCUGGAUUUGUGUUCAAUUAUUAGAAUAAGUUACUCUAGGGAUAACAGCAUAAUUCAUUUGGAUAGUACAUAUUGAUAUAUG